rnacentral:rRNA from 1 species
GCCAUAUCACCCUGCAGCUCUCAACUGGCUACCCACUGAAGCUAAGCAGGGUUGAGCCUGGUCAGUACCUGGAUGGGAGACCUUCUGGAAAGCUAUGGUUGC